rnacentral:rRNA from 1 species
UACGUAGGGGCCGAGCGUUGUCCGGAGUUAUUGGGCGUAAAGCGCGUGUAGGCGGCCCUGCAAGUCGGGUGUGAAAUCCCACGGCUCAACCGUGGAAGUGCAUUCGAAACUGCAGGGCUAGAGUCCUGGAGAGGAAGGUGGAAUGCUUGGUGUAGAGGUGAAAUGCGCAGAUAUCAGGAGGAACACCUAUUGCGAAGGCAGCUCGCUGGGACGUAACUGACGCUGAGACGCGAAAGCGUGGGGAGCAAACAGG